GGAAUUUGGGGUGUCCGGGCGGAGUUUUUGGGGGACAAAUCUCGGAUUUUGGGGAGGGGGGGAUCCCCGGGGUGUCCCCGCGGUGACGUCACAGGGAGUGGCGCGUGUCCCCUCCCCCCCCAGGGCCUGUCCUCGCACAGCGGCGGCUCCCCGAGCGGCACCGUGGUGUAGCUGUCACGCGUGUCACCGCCCGCGUCACGCGUGUCACCUCCCGGGUCACGUGUGUCACCCUCCAGGACACGCCUGGGUCACGCGUGUCACCUCCCGGGCCACGCGUGUCACCUCCCGGGUCAGCUGCGUCACCCGUGUCACCUCCCGGGUCACGCGUGUCACCUCCCGGGUCAGCUGCGUCACCCGUGUCACCUCCCGGGUCACCCGUGUCACCCUCCAGGACACACCCAUGUCACGCGUGUCACCUCCUGGGUCACGCGUGUCACCUCCCAGGUCACCCGUGUCACCCUCCAGGACACACCUGGGCCACCCGUGUCACCUCCUGGGUCACCUGCUUCAACCAUGUCAGCUCCCGGGUCACCCGUGUCACCUCCCGGGUCACCCGUGUCACCCUCCUGGACGCACCUGGGUCACCCAUGUCACCUCCCGGGUCACGCGUGUCACCUCCCGGGUCACCCGUGUCACCCUCCAGGACACGCGUCACCUGCCGUGUCACCCGUGUCAUCCUCCAGGACACAUGUCACCUGCUGUGUCACCCGUGUCAGCUCCUGGGUCACCCGUGUCACCUCCCGGGUCACCUGCGUCACCCGUGUCACCCUCCAGGACACAUGUCAUCUGCUGUGUCACCCGUGUCAGCUCCUGGGUCACCUGUGUCACCCCCAAGGACUCCUGUGUCACCCGUGGGUGUCACCCUCUGAGUCAACCGUGCCACCCCCAAGGACUCCCGUGUCACCCAUGGGUGUCACCCUUGUCACUCCCAAGGACUCCCGUGUCACCCGUGUCACCCUCAAGGACUCCCGUGUCACCCACGGGUGUCACCCUUGUCACCCUCAAGGACUCCCGUGCCACCUGUGUCACCCGUGGGUGUCACCCUCUGGGUCACCCGUGCCACCCCCGUGUCACCAGUGGGUGCCACCCUGUACUACUGAGACCCCUGGGAUGUCCCCACGCUGUCCCCACGGGUGUCCCCGGUGUCCCCACGGGUGUCCCCACGGUGUCGCCACGGGUGUCCCCGCUGUCCCCACAGUGUCCCCGCUGUCCCCACUGUGUCCCCGCUGUCCCCACGGGUGGCACCGCUGUCCCCACAGUGUCCCCGCUGUCCCCACGGUGUCCCCGCUGUCCCCACGGGUGGCACCGCUGUCCCCACAGUGUCCCCGCUGUCCCCACGGUGUCCCCGCUGUCCCCACGGGUGUCCCCGCUGUCCCCACGGUGUCCCCGCUGUCCCCACGGGUGUCCCCACGGGUGUCCCCGGUGUCCCCACGGGUGGCACCGCAAUGUCCCCAUGGGUGUCCCCGCUGUCCCCACGGUGUCCCCACGGGUGUCCCCGCUGUCCCCACGGGUGUCCCCGCUGUCCCCACGGGUGUCCCCACGGGUGUCCCCGCUGUCCCCACGGGUGACACCGCUGUCCCCACGGGUGUCCCCACGGUGUCCCUACGGGUGGCACCGCAAUGUCCCCACGGGUGUCCCCGCUGUCCCCACGGUGUCCCCACGGGUGUCCCCGCUGUCCCCACGGGUGUCCCCACGGUGUCCCCACGGGUGUCCCCGCUGUCCCCACGGGUGUCCCCGCCGUGUCCGGGUCCCCCCGCCCCCCCCCGCCUUUG
rnacentral:lncRNA from 1 species